UCCGACUCUUCUACGUGUAGCUCUGUCCCUCACUUUGUACACCUGCAAAAUUGGAAUCACAUUAGCACGUAAUAAACAGGGAUUGCAUGGGGAUAAAAGUGAGAUAAUGCGGUUAAUGCAGCUGGCAAAUAAUUAGUUUGCAAUUUUGUUUGCAUCUGUUUGGUCAUAAUUCGAGUACAAAGUUCUCAGAUGGUGACUGUGUCUGGCAUCAAACAGAUUCUGGAAUUUUCCUUCCGUCUGCAAGUAUCCUCUUCCUUCUCACCUCCUACAUUAAGAAAGCAGCCCUGGGAAUGAGCCUACAGUCAUCUUUCCUGUUGUGGUAGCUGGUGGUGACCACCUGGAGAGCUCUCUAGCCUCGGGAAACAGAGGAAGACCAGAAGUCUUAAUGGAAUAAAGGACUACUAACUGAACUUCAGUCAUCAUGACGGAGGUGCAGGGUAUUAAUUUGACUGGGGGGUUGUCAAAUUAAUAUUUUGAUAGGCACCUCUCAAAACACUGUAAUGGGAUAGAAUUUAGGCUUAAAAGUUGUCACUACAACUGAAGUCAUUUGUUUAUACACUUGGCUUUGACCCUUGUGAUAUUAAAGCAAAGUAAAAAAAAAUUUCAGCUCUGAUCAAAGACCAGAUGCAUUCUUAGGAAAAAAAAUGGAUAAAGUUGUCAAUAGUAGAAACACUGGUACAUUUUCACAUUAUUACAUUUAACUAAUUCUAAUUAUUCAUUCAUUUACCUCCCAAGGACUUUAUCUGUCCUUCCCUGAAACUAACUGCAGCAUCUCUUCAUUUUUUGAGGGGAACAAAAUUCUGUAUGUAGAAAAUCUGUGUAAGGUGUGUGUAAUUUUAAAAUAUAUUAG
rnacentral:lncRNA from 1 species